GACCGCCAGGGCCUCUCCUGCUGGGCCUGACUUUGAAGUCCUUGCUACUGAGCAGCAGGUAAUAUCUCAGGACUUUGUCACAAAGCUUUUUUCACAAUUGUCAACAUGGCCUUCAGACUGACCAACGCAGCCAUCUAUUGCAUGGCCUUGAACCCAGUCAGGCCUCUCAGUGACUUUUCCAUGGCUCCAUCCCAACUCACCACUUAGAACUCCAGAAGCCACGAAGCAGGGUAAUCAUCUUUAUGAAAUUCAGAGAGAAUAAAGGCAAAGAGCCUGGGGCCAGGUGGAUUCAUGUUGGGCACAGCUGCUAGACAACUGAAGUGAAGAGACCACAGGGCCCAGGAAGGAGUGAGCAGCUACCAGCAAGUGCUGGGUUGAGUUGAGGAGAAACCAUAGUUCAAGUGAAAACCACCUUUCUGAUCCACUAUUCCACCGCGUGCUUCCCCUGGGCAUCACUGGGCCCCAGCACAGAGAGGAGAACUUCUGGUUCAGGUGUUUGUGUUCUCUGUACUCACAGUUCGCUCAGUCAACGUUUAUUGAACACUCGCUGUUUACGGAGUCUUGGGGAGGGAGGUAGAUUCAGUGAAGAGUACAAGAGUUUCAUCAGCGGUCUGACUAGAAGGCCAUUCUACAAUGGUGACUGCUCCUGCAACCCACCGGCCAUGCCCCCAGACUCUGCUCGCCUGGUGGCCUGUGAGCUAGACCCCGCUAAUCAGUGAAGGAGAUUCAGGCAAGAAGUUGACGCUACAAAGCACUCUUGGCCCUUGAAAGAAAGGCAUCCAGGGAGUCCCGGAGGCCAUUACUCCCUUGGAAGGGAAGAGUCAUGAGACACAGAGACAAGGCCUAGGGGAGAAGUGAGAAGGUCUGGAUCUCCAUCCAACUCUCGCUGCACUCUUCAGGUGGAGUGAGGGACUGACUGAAUUUGUCCCCUCCCCCGCAACGGUGUCACUCACCAUUGGAGCAGAAUCAGAGACAACUCCUGUGUGGAACCCUUUGUAGCACCAACUCCGAAGCAGAUCUACUCCUAGGACAAGAUUAGCAGGGGUGGGACUUAAGAGGGUGGAUUCAACUGGUCAAUUCUUGCCAGGGAGGCCCAUUUCUUGGUCUACUGAGAUUUAAUCACUCACUAAACAUGGCCUCCUGUGGGUAGGGAGGACACAUCACCUUUGAGCUUGUUGCCAUGGUACUUCUGUUCCCACUGGGUGGUGAGAAUGUUGAAAUAUCGUGGCUGCUCAAAAAAGCGGAGAUAGCGAGAGGAGAUUCGAGAAGGAAAAAUUCGUUCAAAUUGACCGCGGCGAGAAAACUCAUCUUCCAUCUCAACCAGAAUCCGAACAUCAUCUGGUGUCAGGACAUCCAGCACAGACGCAUAAAAGUCCUAAGGCCCAAAGAACAGAGAGGAAGAGGGCGUGACAGAGAGUGUGAGCUGGAGGCAGAGAAUCCAGAAGCUGGGGACAGUGAGCACAGUUCUGAGGUCCUAGGCUCCAGAACUCCCAAGGCAGCACCAAGGCCGACUAGUGGGUCAUCUCUGGAACUCGUCUAUUCCCAAGCCUACUGAGCUUUGCUGUCUGGGGAAGACGCCAUUGGUCCAGGUAGGGGAGCCUCUUUAAGAGGUUUGCUGGCUGGAGUCAGGAGCAGAAUCCAACAACUCUGAUUUGGUAGCAGCCUUUUGUCUGCUACUGUCAUAUCUGGCUCCCUCAUCUGAGGGAGCUGAGAAGAUAUCAACCCUCCUAGGGGCUCAACGCACCUCAAGGAAAGAAACACAAAGGAUCUAUGGCUCUGACAACAAGGGAUGGCUAGUAUAGCAUUUUGCUAAGAGCAGUGGUUCUUGACCAUGUGAUAGAGGCCAUCAACUCUCUCCUGGAACGACACAUACACCAGCAGAUCUCUGCACACCAAGGGAUCAUGGACCAGGAUUAGGAAACCCUGUCCUAGGGAAAGGGAAAACCAGUCGCCUUAGGGUCCCAAAUAUUUGACUGAGGAAACUUUCUGUUGGCACUCGGUGUGUGUGUGUGUGUGUGUGUGUGUGUGUGUGUGUGUGUGUGUGUAAUCUCCUACCUGAUCAGGAAUUUUCUGGGUCAGAUAAUAGGCUUUCUUCAUCUUCUGUGCAGUGAAAUGUUCUGGGGUCAUUCGACAUUUGUCCCUGGGGGAGCUGGGCAGGCUAAAGCAAUGGAUGGAAAAGAAGCAAACGGUAAGGUCAGCAGCUUCACAUCCUGAAGACAUGAGAAGAGAGGGUCCAUCCCAGGACCCUUAGCUUAACUGGAGAAGGAAGAUACUCUUGGUCAGGGUCAGGGGACUCACUAGGGCACCAAGGUUAAGUGGUUUGUUGGAUGGAGUCACACCCUUCUCAAGAGAAGACAAAGAAGUUUAGAGGAAUAUUUGUUACUUGAAUAGAUCACACCACAAUGCCCUGUCUGGGCGUCCAAAGAUCAAUUACUAUGGAAAAAUGAAAGAGUAUAAGGUACCUCAUUAGGUUGCAUUUCAGUAGUUAAAAAAAAAAAAAAAGAGGACCCCCCCCCCCCCCAAAUAAUUGUUGGAUACUUCAGUUUCAUUUGGUGGACACUUCCUAAGUACCCAGCUCAGCCCUACUGGCUGUGUUAUCCUGGGCAAAUCACAUGACCUCCCUGAACCACAGUUUCCU